rnacentral:rRNA from 1 species
UACGUAGGGGGCUAGCGUUGUUCGGAAUCACUGGGCGUAAAGCGCACGUAGGCGGCUUUCUAAGUCAGGGGUGAAAUCCUGGAGCUCAACUCCAGAACUGCCUUUGAUACUGGAGAGCUUGAGUCCGGGAGAGGUGAGUGGAACUCCGAGUGUAGAGGUGAAAUUCGUAGAUAUUCGGAAGAACACCAGUGGCGAAGGCGGCUCACUGGCCCGGUACUGACGCUGAGGUGCGAAAGCGUGGGGAGCAAACAGG